ACUUGGUUAUGAAUACCCAGAGCAUGCUACAUCCAUGCUGACACAGAAAGGCAGUAAUGACUAUGCUGUGAACACCCAGAGCAAGAUAUAUCCAUGCUGACACAGAAAGGAAGUAAUGACUAUGCUGUGAACACCCAGAGCAAGAUAUAUCCAUGCUGACACAGAAAGGCAGUAAUGACUAUGCUGUGAACACCCAGAGCAAGAUAUAUCAAUGCUGACACAGAAAGGAAGUAAUGACUAUGCUGUGAACACCCAGAGCAAGAUAUAUCCAUGCUGACACAAAAAGGCAGUAAUGACUAUGCUGUGAACACCCAGAGCAAGCUACAUCCAUGCUGACACAGAAAGGAAGUUAUGACUAUGAUGUAAACACCCAGAGCACAAUACAUCCAUGCUGACACAGAAAGGCAGUAAUGACUAUGCUGUGAACACCCAGAGCACGCUACAUCCAUGCUGACACAGAAAGGAAGUAAUGACUAUGCUGUGAACACCCAGAGCAAGAUAUAUCCAUGCUGACACAGAAAGGCAGUAAUGAUUAUGCUGUGAACUCCCAGAGCAAGAUAAAUCCAUGCUGACACAGAAAGGCAGUAAUGACUACGCUGUGAACACCCAGAGCACAAUACAUCCAUGCUGACACAGAAAGGCAGUAAUGACUUGGUUGUAAACACCCAGAGCACAAUACAUCAAUGUUGACUCAGAAAGGCAGUAAUGACUUGGUUGUGAACACAGAACACGAUACACCAAUGCUGACACAGAAAGGCAGUAAUUACUUGGCUGUGAACACAGAGCACAAUACAUCCAUGCGGAAACAGAAAGGCAGUCAUGACUAUGCUGUGAACACCCAGAGCACGAUAAAUCCAUGCUGACACAGAAAGACAGUAAAGACUUGGUUGUAAACACCCAGAGCACAAUACAUCCAUGAUGACACAGAAAGGCAGUAAAGACCUUGUUGUAAACACUAAGAGAUCCAUACAUCCAUGGGGUGUGCCACAGCCCGAAUUACGCCCACUAUUGUGAACAAGGUGCUUAAAGUGAACAUGUCUGGUUUUGGUAUGAGGACUUAGCACUCCAAGCCUAAAAGGCCUCGCAUUGAAUUGAUGCAAGAGAAGGCAUUGAAAAAUAACAGCAGUUUUGUUGUGUGGUCCAGUACGCCCUUCGACUCUCAAUCUGAAGAAAGAAGAACUCAAACUCGGCUCUUAUCAAUAUCAGCAAGGCCAGCAUGUCAUAUCAGCUUCUUGAGCUUCAGAAAUUCAGCACGAAGACAUCUUGCGUCAGACUACCAAGCCUCCUAUCAAUAUCUCCUCCCAUGUUGGCUUCAUCAACACUUCCAACAGAGCCUUGGUGAGUUCGACUUCCGUCUCAGCAUCGAUGUCGCUUAGCAACAAUUGGAUGAUGGGCGUCGACAAAUUAGGCCGGACAAGUCGCUCAAACUGAAACGAUCUGAUCCAACAGGUAGAGCAGGCAUUGCGUGACACGUCCGUUAAUGUGACUGACCUCAUUAUGUUGUUCUCGAAUAAUGUGAACCUUAGGCCUGGAGAGCAGUUUGCGAUUGACGCCAUUCAACAACAGUUGUUGUUGGCAAUUCUCUGGUUUGGGGUGGGGACUUCGGCGUCAGGACUCGCUCCAUCUCUGUCCAUGGCCCAGUCGCAGCAGCAGCAACAAGAAAAAUAAAGCCUGUUCCUACAGGAACCUAUGCAAUCAUAGAUCGGUACCUAGCUGAACAACAGGCUGUAUGGUCAGCUGGUCCCAGACGCCCAGUGACACUUCCUGGCCCAGGACCUUGGGGCAAAUGCUCAACUAUACCUACCCGCAGGGUGGAGCCACUCUGAACCUGGGGCUCCAUACUUUCUUGGCCAGGGGCCAAGUUUACCUUGUCAAUAAGGUACAUGUAGGGACACAUUCCUUGGAUGCCCUAAGGUUUCUCUAUCUGUUCACAAAGGCUUUAUACUCACAAGUUCAAGCCCAGUGAGCGAUGUUCACAUUAUCAAACUCUGCAUAUCAAUAGAAUCCCAGAUAUCAAAGCGUUGAGCUUGUUCUUGAAGCAUUUGCACCAGCAACAGUCAUCAUCUCGAGUUACUGGCAUCUCUAUGGUGUGGAACCCUCCGUCUUUGAACAUCAUAACAGCACAUGAACCAGUGGCACUCAUCAUCUCAAGAUUCUGGUAUAUCCAUGGUGCAGGACCCUCGGUCUGCAAAGAUCAUGCAGAGCGAACCUCAGAUGCCAUUUGAUGAAAUCAAACCAUUCAAUCAGAAACACAGCCUGUUGCAGCAGUUGUUACCAUAUUGACCCCAGUCAAACCUAAGAAGUCCAUAGAUAAAUACUUUUUUAGAUGUGCUAGUCUUUACGUACCUCCUGGUUUGUUCAGCACUUACUCUGACUCUUUUAAUUUAAUGACGGGUGAAAAUGAAUGACCUUGUUCAGUUCGAAAUGACACAUCACAACAAUUCAAGUGGAAAGCCAGAAAGUCAUGUCAACAGCCACAUUUUGUAUGUGUAACAGCCAAGUUGUUUUUAAAGAAAAACAAUAUUUUACAUUUUAUUUUUUAUUUGACCAAUGUUUCAUGGGAAUUAUGAUGCUGUCAGUCUCUUUAUGUUGAAAGUUUUGGUUAAAAAUAGCAUGUUAAUUUUUUUUUUAAAGCACACAUAUUGCAUUUAUAUCCAAUGUCUUUGUCUGUAUAAUGAAUUUUUCACUACAUAUUUUGAUCCUUAUAAUGGUAAAUGUAUGGGAAAAACAAUUUUAUCAAAGAUAUUCUAAGAUUGUCAAGUCUGUUUAAAUGAUGCUGGUAACUUUGACAAAAUUGAAAAAAAAAGGAGUAUUUUCAUAUUAUAAGAUAUGUUUCAGUUGUCUGUUUUUACCCGUAAUAUAGAUAAGCUAAUUUAAUGAAUUGUUCACGAAGGUUUGUAACUUUUACACUUCAGCUUUUUCUGUCUUUUAAUCCUUCCGAAAACAAUACUAGUCAAUUUGCUGAUUUGGGUCGGUAUUCGAUCAUGAAUCUUGUUUAGUAGCAUACUAUUUCAUUGGAAUAAUAAUACAUUCUGGGAAAAAUUAUUUAAUCUAACUAAAAUUAUUGAUUCUGUAAAUACCACUUUGUUGAUUUCAAUGGAUAUUGUUUGUAAAAUAAUAUAGUAUGACUAUUGCGUGUUUGGGAAAGCUUUUAAUGAAACUGAGUAUUAUAAAAAACAAAAAAACAAAUAAAGAGUUUUAUGAAAAUUGUCAAAACUUAUUAUUGUUAAUUUGUGUUGUUAGAUCAUAGAUGUGUAUGCUCACAAUUGUUAAACUUUGUUUUUGGACACAAUAGUUCAUUAUGCGUAUCCUCUUUAAUAAGUGAGUAACUUAAUCAAGAUUUAUUGAUCACUGUAUAUAUUCUGUAGGUAUAUUUUGCCAUUUAUACAUAAAGCAACUGUAGAACAAUUGUAUUUUAAAUGUAAAUUAUUCUUGUAUUGUUGCCAUUUGUAUAAUAUAAACUAACUGUUUACCUUAGUUUGUAAAAACCUUUGUAAAAAAACAUUUUCUGUGUGAAUGCUCAUAUAUAUAUUAAACUGUUAAAAUAAUGCACAGUACCAGAAAAAAAUAGUCAAUUACACAGUAAGGGAAAGUGUUGUCAUAUGCUAACAAUUGUAUAAAAUUGCAAUUGUCUCUAUUUGUAAUAAUUAGAGAGCAAUAUUAUUUGCUUAAAAAAUAAAGAUGUCUGCUUUGUAAAUUAAUAAUUGUGUUUACAUCUCAACAUAACACGUAAAUACAUUAAAGUCUAAAAGGAUUUUUUUGAAUAAACACUUAAAUAAAUAUAUGUGCGUGUAUACGCUGAUAAAAUUUUUUUACAUUUCAUUUAGUUUUGUAACAGCGCAUUUGACCUUUCACGUUGACCAUCCCACACUUGCUGUCAGUGCAGUGCCUUCAUUAGGGUCAUUUUUAUGCUCCUGGUAGGGUGGCAUAUAGCAGUUGAACUGUCCGUCAGUAUGUCAGUCUGUCCUUUUGUCCGAAAAAAACUUAAACAUUGGCCAUAACUUUUUGAAUAUUGAAGAUAGCAACUUGAUAUUUGGCAUGCAUGUGCAUCUCAUGAAGCUGCACAUAUUGAGUGGUGAAAGGUGAUGGUCAAGGUCAUCCUUCAAAGUCAAAUGUCAAAUUUAUGGCGUCUGUCCGUCCGUCCAAAACUUUAACAUUGGCCAUAACUUGUUCAAUAUUGAAGAUAGCAACUUGAUAUUUGGCAGCCAUGUGUAUCUCAUGGAGCUACACUUUUGAGUGGUAAAAGGUCAAGGUCAUCCUUGAAGGUCAAAGGUCAAAAAAAAUAAUCAAAGUGGCGUUCCUAUGAAGCUGCACAUUGUGAGUGGUUCAAGGUCAAGGUCAUUAGUCAAGGUCAUCCUUCAAGGUCAAAGGUCAAAAAAAUAAUCCAAAGCAGCGUUCUCAUGAAGCUGCACAUUGUGAGUGGUGUGAGUUCAAGGUCAAGGCCAACCGUCAAGGUCAUCCUUCAAGGUCAAAAGUAAAAAAAAAAUUCAAAGCGGCGUCCUCAUGAAGCUGCACAUUUUGAGUGGUGGACGUUCAAGGUCAAGGUCAUCCUUCAAUGUCAAAGGUAAAAAAAAAAUCAAAGCGGCGCAAUAGGGGGCAUACUGUGUUUCUGACGAACACAUCUCUUGUUUGUAAAUAUCCCACUGUUUAAGUUCAGCAAAUGUUUUAAGACCAGAUUUCCUUAAACUUGGGGGUGUUAUUAUUUUACUUUUAUUGAAUGCAUGAAACAUGUGUGUUCCGUUGUUGAAUAGCUAAACAUAGCUUGAUGUGUGUAGAUUGUGUGACAAAUGUUGAUCAAAUUGUUACAUAGAAAAAAACACAAUCUUAGUUAACUUGUAUGUGUUAAUUACCAAACACAAAUAUAAGUAUUUUGUAACAAUAUAAGUAUUGUCUUUAUUUGAAAUACAGAAUGAAAUGCAAUUUUAAAAUCAUGUCUUUAUAUGUUCAUCUUCUCCAAAUAAGCAUUUUGAAUAAGCAAAUAUAAUAUCUCUAUGGAAAGUAUCCGUAGGCCCCAUGCAAUCGCUUGUGUACCUCAUAUUGAUCAGGGUCUUUCUAAAUUACUUCAUGAUUGGUUAUCCCUGUCUGAAUUGUGAAAAUAGCUUCAACAUGGUGAGAUAACUGUUAAGAGGAUUUCAAUAUUAAAAGUUAAAAUAGUAUCUUAGCUGUAACCGUACAUCUGUUGCAUUUAUUUUAACAUGUUUAUAUGUUCUGGCUCCCUGAGUUUUAUAUUGUUUAUAAUCUUGCAUAUUUAAUUGUGUUUUAUAAGACAAACAUCAUUAUACUGAUAAUGUUGUUUUUGUCCAACAUUUCUAUGUAUACAAGUUGUAUGUAAAUAAUUAAAUAUGUUUAUGUUGAUGAUAUGUAUUUCCCGAUCUAAGUUUGAUGUUGAACUCUCAAUAAACGACAUGUUUUGCCAAUUAAAUCCCGAAUGAUUG